rnacentral:rRNA from 1 species
AUUGAACGCUGGCGGCAGGCUUAACACAUGCAAGUCGAGCGGGGGAAGGUAGCUUGCUACUGGACCUAGCGGCGGACGGGUGAGUAAUGCUUAGGAAUCUGCCUAUUAGUGGGGGACAACAUCUCGAAAGGGAUGCUAAUACCGCAUACGUCCUACGGGAGAAAGCAGGGGAUCUUCGGACCUUGCGCUAAUAGAUGAGCCUAAGUCGGAUUAGCUAGUUGGUGGGGUAAAGGCCUACCAAGGCGACGAUCUGUAGCGGGUCUGAGAGGAAGAUCCGCCAAACGGGGACGGAGACACGGCCCAGACUCCUACGGGAGGCAGCAGUUGGGAAUAUUGGACAAUGGGGGGAACCCCGAUCCAGCCAUGCCGCGUGUGUGAAGAAGGCCUUAUGGUUGUAAAGCACUUUAAGCGAGGAGGAGGCUACUUUAGUUAAUACCUAGAGAUAGUGGACGUUACUCGCAGAAUAAGCACCGGCUAACUCUGUGCCAGCCGCCGCCGUAA